rnacentral:rRNA from 1 species
UACGGAGGGGGGCUAGCGUUGUUCGGAAUUACUGGGCGUAAAGCGCGCGUAGGCGGACCUGCAAGUCGGGGGUGAAAGCCCGAGGCUCAACCUCGGAACUGCCUUCGAUACUGCGGGUCUCGAGUCCGGGAGAGGUGAGUGGAAUUCCUAGUGUAGAGGUGAAAUUCGUAGAUAUUCGCAAGAACACCAGUGGCGAAGGCGGCUCACUGGCCCGGUACUGACGCUGAGGUGCGAAAGCGUGGGGAGCAAACAGG